rnacentral:tRNA from 1 species
GGAGGAGUCGCAUAGAGGCCUAGUGCGGCACGGUGCUAACGUGCUUAGGGUCAAAAGCCCUUCGUGGGUUCGAAUCCCACCUCCUCCG